CCAUUCAUAUAUGUCACUAAUUAGAUGACGAGGCAUUUGACUAUUUACCAUUAGGAGAGUCAUAGUUACUCCUAUCGUUUACCCGCGCUUCAUUGAAUUUCUUCACUUUGACAUUCAGAGACUAGGCAGAAAUCACAUUGCAUCAACACCCACCACGGGCCUUUGUGAUGCUUUGUUUUAAUUAAGCAGUCAGAUUCCCCUGGUCCGCACCAGUUCUAA